CUGAGGUACUGACAGCUGCCAUUUUACUGGAAAGCGGCGAGCUAGCCAUACACCUUUUGCUUAGUUUAAGACCGAAUUUGAAUCUGGUUCCUGGAAGUCCUAAAGGUGCCCCUCCCUGUGUCCGUGCAGCCAGGUGACAGUGCUCCUGUUGGGGAUCAGCACCCUGACCCUCCAGUUCUACGUGCUGUUACGGCCCAGGUCCUCCCGGUUCUGCAGCCAGCCCCUCCUGGCCAACCUGGUCGGUAGCAUGGUCUUCACCCUGCUCACACUUGGGCUCUUUGUGCUGCUCACUCAGACGGAGCUGGCCCCGUUGGCUCUAAGGACAGCACUGGUGGUAUUUGGCGUGGCGUCCUUUGGUGAAGGAGUCUGCUCUGGGCUGUUAACACUCCUGGCAUCAGACUGCGAGAAAACCACCCCUGAACUUUACUAUGUAUCUGUGGUGCUGUCAGUGGGCAGCCUGGUAUCCACGGUGCUUUUUUCUGGCAUGGGGCUCAUCUGGCUGUCCAAAGUGACCUGCCCAAGGCCAGAUGCUAAGCCAACAGUCUGAAGCUAGCCCAGAGGUCCUGCUGGUUUCCUGCCUCAUUUACACGCCUGGGCUGACUGAGUCCGCCCCAGCAUUACCACUGUGUACCGUCAAGCAUCUCACAAGAUGAUCUCCUAGCUGCCAUUUCUACAUAAAAUGUCUGCUGCACAUCAUAACCACGCAGGAAGCAUGCCAAGACCAGCCAUCAUAGAAGCUGCU
rnacentral:lncRNA from 1 species